rnacentral:lncRNA from 1 species
GGUGCGGGAGUAAUCCAUCGAGCUGAAUGCUUGGUUGUGUAUUCUAUCGCGCCUAGUAAAACAGGCAUCCCUAUACCUAUGUGUCUUGUGUGCUUAUUAGUGCCAUUGAGGGGUGGCUGAAGGUUAAGCGUACACAUGGGCUCAUCCCCACCAUCGAUCUAUAAAUUUCCAUUUUUCGCAAUUUUGGUUGUCAAGUCAAGGUAUGAGUGUAUAGGGGCGCCAGACUCCCUGUGCUGUGAUGGGUUUUGCCAUGUGAAAGCGGUGAACUGCUUGUCAGGGCCAGGCUAAACCAUGAUGCUAUGUUACUAGGCUUCGCCUCUCCUUUCACCAUGAAAGUCUCGCUCCUAUUCUUUAAGAAAAAGAAGAUGGAAACUGAGCUUGAUCAUCUAAUGGAAGGGAAGGAAGAAGUGGAACUUUGCAUAAAGUG